rnacentral:rRNA from 1 species
CCUACGGGAGGCAGCAGUGAGGAAUAUUGGUCAAUGUACGAGAGUCUGAACCAGCAAAGUAGCGUGAAGGAUGACUGCCCUAUGGGUUGUAAACUUCUUUUAUAUGGGAAUAAACUGUUCCACGUGUGGGAUUUUGUAUGUACCAUAUGAAUAAGGAUCGGCUAACUCCGUGCCAGCAGACGCGGUAAUAAGGAGGAUCCGUGAGUUAUCCGGAUGUAUUGGGUUUAAAGGGAGCGUAGGUGGAUUGUUAAGUCAGUUAUGAAAGUUUGCGGCGCAACCGUAAAAUUGCAGUUGAAACUGGCAGUCUUGAGUACAGUAGAGGUGGGCGGAAUUCGUGGUGUAGCGGUGAAAUGCUUAGAUAUCACGAAGAACUCCGAUUGCGAAGGCAGCUCACUGGACUGCAACUGACACUGAGGCUCGAAAGUGUGGGUAUCAAACAGGAUUAGAUACCCUUGUAGUC